rnacentral:tRNA from 1 species
GCGAGGGUGGCGGAAUCGGUAGACGCGUCAGACUUAGAAUCUGGUACUUCCAAGUGUAGGGGUUCAAAUCCCCUCCCUCGCACCA